UUAAGUUCAGCGGGUAUUCCUACCUGAUCUGAGGUCAACCUUAGAAGUUGGGGUUUUACGGCAGGGGCUCGCCGCUCUCCGGUGCGAAAUAUCACUACUACGCAGAGGAGGCUACAGCGAGUCCGCCACUAGAUUUAGGGGCCGGCCGUCCCUCGCGGGCUUUGGCCGAUCCCCAACACCACGCCCUAGGGGCAUGAGGG
rnacentral:misc_RNA from 1 species